GAGGUGUCCUUUGAUGAAAGGAAAAUGCACCCCAAACCAUGAUACCCCCGCCUCCAAAUGGCAAACGUUGGUUGACGUUGACGUCAGCAAAACACUCUCCUGGACGCCGAUACACACAAGUUCUACCAUCAUAUUGAACUGUAGAGUAUACCUAGACUCGUCGGAGAGAAGAACUGACGCCCACUGAGCACGUUGCCAACGGACAUGGCGUCUACACCAGUCACGUCAUGCCGCCCUGUGUCGCUGAUUGAGUGAAGAUUGUUCCUCCUCAGUCGGUUCCUGACGGUCUCAUCAGAUACCAGGGUACCUGUGGCAGCUCUCAGUUGGUCACGGAGUUGUCUGGCAGUUACUCUGCGUUGUCGGACGGCCAUAUUUGUCAGGAAUCGGUCUUCUCUAGGAGUUGUUGAUGGAGACCUGCCAGAACGUGGUCGAUUAUUCAGCGUUCCAGUCACACGAAACCGUUGCCAUAACCUCCCAAUGACACUCUGACUCACAUUUAGUCUCCGAGCCACACUGCGUUGAGUUUCACCAUCUUGAAGCCAGGCAAGAGCUCUUCCUCUGUCUGUCAUGAUCAGUUGACGUCUUGCCAUUGUUGAAUUUCAAGUGACAAUAGCACUGUGACAAUUGCAAGUUUUAUAGGGAAAAUAAGCAUGCACAGCACUAAUUCCACGAACAGUGGUGGCGUUUUUGUGAAGUACUCGAUGUUUCAAUUUGUUCAUUUUUUAACACCCUACCACAUGAUGACUAUUGGCACCACGGUUAUCUGCAGCCUUUAUCCAGGUUCUGCAAUGUUUUUCAAUGACGUACCAUCCAGGGAAUGUAAAAAUUUCAUUCAUAUGCAAUGCAACCAACCUCAUCAGUAACAUUACAUGAUGAUAUCGCAUGACCCUUAACUUGUUUUGAGUAGUAAUAUAUAUAUUGUUUACUUUUUGUGACCCAAUGUCGUCAAACAUGUUGAGAUAGGGCUGCAGAAAUGAUUUCACAAUGGACUCAAUUUGGAAACUGAACUUUAAAACUAACAAAAUAUAAUCAGGAUUAUUUACCAUGAAGAAAUGAGAAACCCACAUGCCCCCAUAGACCCAACGUUUCAUGAAAGGUAUAAAUAUUCAAUCUUUAGAUUUUUUAUCGCUUGCAAAGUUAUGACAAUCUCAGUGGCACCUGUAUUCCAUGAAAUCUUUUCUACCAUCACCAUUAGAACAGGUUGGGCGAAACCGUAACGUGUAUUGAGUCUUUACUGAAAAACGAAAAGUAUGUUUUUACCAUCGUACAUCUUGUAUUUCAAAGUUUUUGUACUAUGAAAAACAUAUUACAUGUAGUGUACAUUGAAUGUUAUUGCUAGUGCUAGAUGUGGUCCUUCUAAACAAAGAUAAUGUUCACAUGAGACUGAUAGAAUCUGUUCAUGUGUGUGUUACUCUCACAAAACGCUUAUAAAGCCUAUAAAGUAUAUGAGACACUUUUAUACAUAUAUAUAUAUACUGAGAGAAACAAAGACAGGAACUCGGAAAUAUCAAGCGUUCCUUUAAUAUCAUCAAGUUUUAAUCACCAGCUUUGAAUAGCGCAGUGGGGGGGGAAAUCUGAGAAUAAGUAUAGGAACAUUGCCAUGAAGUGGCGUUCCCUUAUUUGUUUCCCUCAGUAUAUUUGAUCCAGAUCGUUUGUCACAUA